rnacentral:rRNA from 1 species
AUUUUUAAAAUUAUUAAUUUUUAAAUUUAAUUUUUAAAUUAAAUAAAAUAAUAUAAAUUUUAGUAAUUAAAAUGAAAAAUAAAUUUUUAUUAUAGUUAAUUAGUAUUGUCAAAGAAAUUUAGUAAAAUAUUAAAAAGAAAAAUUUAAUUUUUGUACCUUGUGUAUCAGGGAUUAUUAAAUAAAAUUUAUUAAUUUAAAUUUCUCGAAUUUAAAAGAGCUAAUUAAUAAUAUAUUUUAUUGUUUCAUAAAUAUUUAUAAUUAUUAAUUAGAAAUGAAACGUUAGUCGUUUUUAAAUAUAUCUAGUUUUUUUAGAAAUAAAUUUAAUUUAAAAUUUAAUUAUUGUUAAUUAAAAUUUAUUUAUUAACAAAAUUAAAUCUAAAUAUUUAAAGGGAUAAGCUUUUAAAUAAAAAUUUAAAAAUUUUUAUAUAAUUGUAUAAAUUGUAGGAUUAGAAUUUUUUUUCAUUUUAAAAUGUUAUAAUAAAUUAUAUUUUUAAUAGUAUUUAUAUAAAUUUUAAAUUUUUUAUAAAAAUUUAUUUAAUAAUUUUAUUUAAAUAGAAAUAAUGAUAAUAUUAGUAUAAUUAGAUGUAAAAUUAAAUUAAAUUUUAUAGAUAAAUUAAAGGAAUUCGGCAAAUAUAUAUUUUACCUGUUUAUUAAAAACAUGUCUUUUUGAUUAUAAUUUAAAGUCUGGCCUGCCCACUGAUUUAAUUAAAUGGCCGCAGUAUUUUGACUGUGCAAAGGUAGCAUAAUCAUUAGUUUCUUAAUUGGGAACUGGAAUGAAAGGUUUGAUAAAAAUAUAACUGUCUCUAAUUUAAUUAUUAGAAAUUUAUUUUUAAGUUCAAAAGCUUAAAUAUUAUUUAAAGACGAGAAGACCCUAUAGAGUUUUAUAAAUUAAUUUAUUAAAAUUAAAAAAAUUUAUAUGAUUUUAUUAAAUUAAUUUAUUUGAUUGGGGUGAUUGAAAAAUUUAAUUAACUUUUUUUUUAUUUAUACAUAAAUUAAUGAAUAAUUGAUCCAUUAUUAUGAUUAAAAGAAUAAAUUACCUUAGGGAUAACAGCGUAAUUUUUUUUUAGAGUUCAUAUUAAAAAAAAAGAUUGCGACCUCGAUGUUGGAUUAAAGUUAAAUUUUGGUGUAGAAGCUAAAAAUUUUAGUCUGUUCGACUAUUAAAACUUUACAUGAUCUGAGUUUAGACCGGUGUAAGCCAGGUCGGUUUCUAUCUUAAAUAUAUUAUAAUAUUUUAGUACGAAAGGACCAAAUAUUAAUUUUAAAAAUUUUAUUAGGAAUUCA